GCAAAAGAGUGGAAUGAAACACAUCAAUCUCUGAAAGAAAAAAAAAUUCUCAGUCUAGUGAAAACAUCCUUCCAAGUGAAGGUAGAAAUAAAAAUUUUCUUAGAACCAGACAUUUAAGGAAGACCUUUGUGAAGACCUUUGUCAGGGUUUCUUCACAAAGAAAUGUCUACACACACAAGGAAUACAUACCUUCCAGAAAUAGUUUUGAAAUGUCAUAAAUGAAUGGUUGCCAUCCUCAGUAAAAUUCAGGAGAAAAGAAUUAGGACACAUGAUACUGAAAAUGUCCAUUCUCCCCCAGAGUUUACAAGACAUAAAGGGAGCAGAUAUCAGUCCUCAAAAUCUUCCCAAAAAUAGAAGAGGAAGAAAUACUUCCUCAUUCCCUGAGAUCAGUAUUACCCUGAUAGCAAAGCCAGAAAGACAGCUACAAGAGAACUGCAGGCUAACAUCCUUUUUGAAUACUGGUGCAGGAAUCCGCAACUAAGUACUAGAAAACUGAAUUCAGUGGCAUAUUAAAAAGAGUCAUACACUCUGAACAUAUGAGAUUUAUUUCAGGAAUGCAAAGAUGGUUCAUCAUACCAAUUGUGAUACACCACAUUAAUAGACUAAAUGGAAAAGGACAUGAUCAUUUCAGUUGAUCCCCUCCCCCCAAAGAGGAUUUACCAAAAUUCAAUCCCCUUUAUUUUAAAAACUCUAAAAACUAGAAGAUAAACUGUCAAUCUUAGAAAGGUUACAUAUGAAGAACCCAGCAUCAUAAUGGUAAAGGUGAGGUAAAAGAUCUUUGACUCGGAUACCAGGAUCAUUUACUGGGUAAAGGACAGUCUUCAACAAAUGGUGCUGGGAAAACUCAAUAUCCACAUACAAAACAAUGAAGUUGGAUUCUUUAUACCAUAUAUAAAAAUUAACAAUGAAUAAUAGACCUAAUGAUAGAGUAAAACUGAAACUCUUAGAAGAAAACAGAAAUAACUUAAAUAAAAGUUUCAUGACUUUGGAUCAGAAAUUAUUUCUUGUAUAUAAAACCAAAUGCACAGGAAAGAUAGUAUGUCUAGAUCUUCUUUAAUAGGUUAAUUUUGUUUUUAAAAUUACCUGCAUGCCUAAUAACUUUUGUCUGCUUGAUCAGUCAGUGAUGGGAGGGUUGUAAAAUCUCCCAUCACUUUAGUCAUUUUAUCUCCUCCUCCUUAUAAUGCUCUGAAACUGUUUCAUGUGUCCUCUGUAGAAGUUAACUCCUCAUUUUUCAACUGUUUUUCACAACCUCAAACUUGUCAAUUACGACUUUCCACUCAAGUUUAGCUACCCCACUUCUAAGGAUCCAGUACUAAGUACAUGCUUAGUAUUUACUGGGUUUCAUCUUUAAUACUGCAAAAAUAAUAACAAUAUGUAUCUUUUCCAGAGUUCAUUGUAUUUGUGUGAAUUACUGUGACAUAUACCCAGUCUGCCUUUACUAGAAAUAGAACUAGAUGACAUUUGAGAAAAGAUCUGAAGGUAGUGAGGGAAAGAGACAUUUCAAAAUUUAGAUAUAGAACAUUGAGCUGUACUAAAGAGAAAGUUCAAAGACCCUGUGAGUGAGUGGUGAUGGUUGGUUUAUUGACAGGUAGUCCCUGGAAUUUUUAAAC
rnacentral:lncRNA from 1 species